UACGUAGGGUGCAAGCGUUGUCCGGAAUUAUUGGGCGUAAAGAGCUCGUAGGCGGUUUGUCGCGUCUGCUGUGAAAACGCGAGGCUCAACCUCGCGCCUGCAGUGGGUACGGGGCAGACUGGAGUGCGGUAGGGGAGAUUGGAAUUCCUGGUGUAGCGGUGGAAUGCGCAGAUAUCAGGAGGAACACCGAUGGCGAAGGCAGAUCUCUGGGCCGUAACUGACGCUGAGGAGCGAAAGCGUGGGGAGCGAACAGG
rnacentral:rRNA from 1 species